rnacentral:tRNA from 1 species
GGCGGGAUAGUUCAGGGGAUAGAACGCUGGCUUACUAACCCAGCUGUCGCCAGUUCGAAACUGCCCCCCGCCACCA